rnacentral:rRNA from 1 species
UGCGCCUACGGGAGGCAGCAGUGAGGAAUAUUGGUCAAUGGGAGAGAUCCUGAACCAGCCAAGCCGCGUGAGGGAAGACGGCCCUAUGGGUUGUAAACCUCUUUUGUCGGAGAACAAAACCCGGGACGUGUCCCGGACUGCGUGUAUCCGAAGAAAAAGCAUCGGCUAACUCCGUGCCAGCAGCCGCGGUAAUACGGAGGAUGCGAGCGUUAUCCGGAUUUAUUGGGUUUAAAGGGUGCGUAGGCGGUCCGUUAAGUCAGCGGUAAAAUCGUGGGGCCCAACCCCAUCCCGCCGUUGAAACUGGC